GAGUGAACGCUGGCGGUAGGCCUAACACAUGCAAGUCGAACGGCAGCACAGUAAGAGCUUGCUCUUACGGGUGGCGAGUGGCGGACGGGUGAGGAAUACAUCGGAAUCUACUUUUUCGUUGGGGAUAACGUAGGGAAACUUACGCUAAUACCGCAUACGACCUACGGGUGAAAGCAGGGGAUCUUCGGACCUUGCGCGAUUGAAUGAGCCGCUGUCGGAUUAGCUAGUUGGCGGGGUAAAGGCCCGCCAAGGCGACGAUCCGUAGCUGGUCUGAGAGGAUGAUCAGCCACACUGGAACUGAGACACGGUCCAGACUCCUACGGGAGGCAGCAGUGGGGAAUAUUGGACAAUGGGCGCAAGCCUGAUCCAGCCAUACCGCGUGGGUGAAGAAGGCCUUCGGGUUGUAAAGCCCUUUUGUUGGGAAAGAAAAGCAGCAGGUUAAUACCCCGCUGUUCUGACGGUACCCAAAGAAUAAGCACCGGCUAACUUCGUG
rnacentral:rRNA from 1 species